GUUGCAGAGUAAAGAUUAAAGUUUCCGAGAAAAAUAACCCUGACCACAUUCUCUCAAAUCUUUUUAGGGUUUCAUAUUGCAAUUUAUGCUCUCAAUUUUUCAACUCAGGGUUUUGUGAAUGGUAAAAAUAGGUCUUGAGGAGGGGGCAAGCAAUGGUCAAUAAACAGAGUGUGGGAAGGAGAUUAAAUGCUUAAGGAGUGAACCAGUGGGUAAUGGGUGUGGAUAUGAAUGUAUGAAUGAUUCUGGUGAUGGAAGUUCUGGAGCAAGUGAGAGUUUUUGAACAUAUGAGAGGCGCAAACAGUUAAGUUUGAGUUCAAAGAUCAGAGUGCAAGAUGGCGGUAAUGCAUCAACUGACCAGGUCACUCUUCCUGGGAUUGAUCAUUGUGUUUUUUAAGUGAAAAAUUAUCGUCUACAAAGGAAGUGGAGAAAUGUUGUAUUGGAGCACAUGCAUCAGUUAUUAAGUGGUGAUGAAGGUGGUAUACAGCGUUGCAUUCAAGAUGCACUUUUAUUUCGAGAAAAUGGUUGUAAUGUGACAUUUAAGUUUUAUGUUUUUAUCUAAAUUCAAUGUGGUCUAUCAUGCCUUGCACUAAUCCUUCUCUUUUCAAUUUUCUUUCUGAUGUAUUGGAAUAUUAACUUUCUACAUGAUUCUGAGGAGCUGGAGGCUGUUAUAUGUAACAUGUCCUUAAAGGAGUCAAAACCUCAAACCACCACUGAGAAGUGUUAGCGUGUUUUCUUUGAAGUUAUAAUUUCUGAAAACUUCACAUCUUUGUGCAAGCUUCUAUUUGACAAUUUCCAAGGGAUCAAGUUUGAUAGCCUCUUUCACUUAGGUCUCAUGAAAUCAAGGAUGAAGGAUGGAGCUUAUAAGAAAUCACCUAUGCUAUUCUCAUCAGACAUUCAGGAGGUGAUUUAUGCAAUCGUUUUUAUUUGCAUACCAUACACUACUUGAAUGGACUUGCUUAGUUAAAACUAGAAAUGUUACAUCGAUUGAAUUAAAGUUUUAUAAGCUUCAGUUUUGGUUAUGUUUAGAACAGUAUUACA